AACGAACGCUGGCGGCAUGCCUAACACAUGCAAGUCGAACGAGAACUUCGGGUCUAGUGGCCCACGGGUGCGUAACGCGUGGGAACCUGCCCUUAGGUUCGGAAUAACUCCCCGACAGGGGUGAUAAUACCGGAUCGUGUCUUCGGACCAAAGAUUUAUCGCCUUUGGAUGGGCCCGCGUGGGAUUAGCUGGUUGGUAGGGUAAAAGCCUACCAAGGCGACGAUCCAUAGCUGGUCUGAGAGGAUGAUCAGCCACACUGGGACUGAGACACGGCCCAGACUCCUACGGGAGGCAGCAGUGGGGAAUAUUGGACAAUGGGCGAAAGCCUGAUCCAGCAAUGCCGCGUGAGUGAUGAAGGCCUUAGGGUUGUAAAGCGCUUUUACCCGUGAUGAUAAUGACAGUACCGGGAGAAUAAGCUCCGGCUAACUCCGUG
rnacentral:rRNA from 1 species